AGAGUCUGGAUGCUUAGGAAACUGUUGAGGACAAAAACAAACCCUGGCUUCCUGAUCCUCUCACAAAACUAUUUCCAUCCAGGGCUGAGGAGAAAUAAGAGCUUGAAAAGCCUUGGCACAAAUCCCGAACAGCUUUCUGCAGCAUAGGAAGGCCAUACCUGUAGUGAGUUCUACAAUUCAUCAUGCUGCAAAGUUUCCCCAAACCUUCUGAAGCUAACUCAACUCCAGGUUUCCCUCUGCAGGUAAGGCAGACUCAAGUUCCUGCCAGCCUAGCUGCUCUGUCAGACCACAGUGGGCCCUGUUUCUCCUGAACCUGGAGUAGAAACCCCUGCACUCUCAACGUCCCCUGAGAACACAGACUGGAGGAGGGUCCGCUUCUGUCCAACGGAGUGUCCCACUUACCUCUCAG